UGCAUUUUUCCAUUGCAUGAA
ensembl:piRNA 21ur-1105 ncRNA